rnacentral:rRNA from 1 species
UACGAAGGGGGCUAGCGUUGCUCGGAUUUACUGGGCAUAAAGGGCGCGUAGGCGGACAGUUAAGUCGGGGGUGAAAGCCCGGGGCUCAACCUCGGAAUUGCCUUCGAUACUGGCUGUCUUGAGUGUGAGAGAGGUGUGUGGAACUCCGAGUGUAGAGGUGAAAUUCGUAGAUAUUCGGAAGAACACCAGUGGCGAAGGCGACACACUGGCUCACUACUGACGCUGAGGCGCGAAAGCGUGGGGAGCAAACAGG